GAACAACUGCCAGCAUCCUGCCUCUAUGUGCUAAAGUGGCUAAUCAGCAGACAUGGCAAAGAAUUCCACUGCAAAGUUCCUUUUAGUACU